CCUACGGGAGGCAGCAGUGGGGAAUAUUGCGCAAUGGGCGAAAGCCUGACGCAGCGACGCCGCGUGAGGGAUGAAGGUCUUCGGAUCGUAAACCUCUGUCAGCAGGGAAGAACGGUCACUGUGCUAAUCAGCAGUGAAUUGACGGUACCUGCAAAGGAAGCCACGGCUAACUACGUGCCAGCAGCCGCGGUAAUACGAAGGUGGCAAGCGUUAUCCGGAUUUACUGGGUGAAAAGGGCGUGUAGGCGGGACUGCAAGUCAGAUGUGAAACCCAUGGGCUCAACCCAUGGCCUGCAUUUGAAACUGUAGUUCUUGAGUGAUGGAGAGGCAGGCGGAAUUCCGUGUGUAGCGGUGAAAUGCGUAGAUAUACGGAGGAACACCAGUGGCGAAGGCGGCCUGCUGGACAUUAACUGACGCUGAGGCGCGAAAGCGUGGGGAGCAAACAGGAUUAGAUACCCCUGUAGUC
rnacentral:rRNA from 1 species